CGGACGGGUGAGUAACGCGUGAGGAAAAGGACUUAGGAGGGGGACAACGACUGGAAACGGUCGCUAAUACCCCAUAUGUCUACGGAUGAAAGAUUUUAUCGCCUGAGGAUGAACUCGCGUCUGAUUAGCUAGUUGGUGAGGUAAGGGCUCACCAAGGCGACGAUCAGUAGCUGGUCUGAGAGGAUGAUCAGCCACACUGGGACUGAGACACGGCCCAGACUCCUACGGGAGGCAGCAGUGGGGAAUUUUCCGCAAUGGGGGCAACCCUGACGGAGCAAUACCGCGUGCGGGAGGACGACCUGUGGGUUGUAAACCGCUUUUCUCAGGGAAGAAGGACUGACGGUACCUGAGGAAUCAGCAUCGGCUAACUCCGUGCCAGCAGCCGCGGUAAUACGGAGGAUGCAAGCGUUAUCCGGAAUUAUUGGGCGUAAAGCGUCCGUAGGUGGUUAAACAAGUCUGCUGUUAAAGAGCGGAGCUUAACUCCGUUUUGGCGGUGGAAACUGUUUGACUAGAGAGUGGUAGGGGUAGAGGGAAUUCCCAGUGUAGCGGUGAAAUGCGUAGAUAUUGGGAAGAACACCGGUGGCGAAAGCGCUCUACUGGGCCACAUCUGACACUGAUGGACGAAAGCUAGGGGAGCGAAAGGGAUUAGAUACCCCUGUAGUC
rnacentral:rRNA from 1 species